UCCUCAGAAUGCUGAUAUGCUUUUUUUGCUCCAUCUGUGCAUCUGUUUUACAGAUAAGGAGGAAGGUCAGCAGCCACUGUGAUGUCUUGAUCACUUCAAUUUUCUCUUUUUUUUUUUCUUAUUUGAAGUUUAUCAAAUCUCUACAUCUGCAUUUGCAUUUUGUCAGGUGCUGACUACCAAAAGUUUAGUGCUGAAGAGUGGAUGGUGUUUGGCAGAGGAUGAGGGAUGGGAGCACCAGCCUGCCUCUAUCCACCUGGAACAAGCUGUUUAACUUUUUUGCUCUUUCUUCUUUCAGGCUAGAGCACAUUUCUUAUUCCAAAAUAUGACGGUCAAAGUCAUUUUAUUGUGCUACUCCUGUUCUUAGAGCCUCAAGUGCUGUGUAUUGGCUUUUACUCUGAGACACUCUGAGCAUCUUCUGUAUCUUUUACAGACAUAUCUGCAAAUAUGUGAGUGAGCUGUCAAAGUGUUAAAAAGCUUUAAAACCUGCUGCUGAUACAACUCUGUUGCUGAAGAAAGGCUUUGUAAGUAUGUUGUUUUCUUCUGUGGACAAGAUGGCUUAAACAAGAUGACAAGUAAAGUUAGUUUUAGUAUAACAUUAAAAGAAGAUACACCAGAAGACAUCCAAGAUUUGGAGAUAGUAUAACAAUAUGACAUGUAUUCUUACUUCCACGAUGCUCAGACUUUAUUCAGAUUUUUAUUCCAAAACAGGGAAUAUUGAUGUUAACAGAGGUGUAUCUCAGUGUAGUGGACAGUGUGUAGUUUAUGUGUUAGAGCAUACCCUCAUUGUCUUCAUUUAAAUGAAUUCAGAGCUUUAUUUCAUUAAUUAGUUGAUGAAUUUGGAAAUACUUGAAGGCAACUGAGAAAGGUACAGGACAACAAGAUGUGAAGUAUUAUUUAUUGCCACUAAAAUUUGCUAACUAUUCUUUAGGCUCUUUCAUGUAGUAAAUGAAUUACCUUUAUCAUAGUCUAUUUUAUGGUUCUAGUAAUUAUGUCUCACCAAGCAAGGCGGAAUUUUGGCUCCCCUAAAGCAACAGACCCUUGUUUUGUCAAAUAUUUCCCUAUUCCCAGACUUGUGCUUAGUGUCUUAACUGUCAGUUAUGAAAGAAGAUGAUAUAUAGCCCAGAACUACUGAAUCUUGUGGUUAACCUGCGUGUCCCUGAUUUGGCAUGACAUACUGUAAUGAAAUUUGACUAGAAAAGGAUUUCACUAUGGAAAUGGUUUGUGAAGGAAAGAAAUCAAAGAAUCAGAAAAGAAAGUUAACAGCACUGUAUGCACAAGAUACAAACAUAGAAUUAUUUGUGGCAAUACUUAUAAGCCAUUAUUAUUCAGUAUUUUCUUCCUGUAUGUCUGGAGGAUAUUGACACUUUAAAGCCAGAUGCUGACUGAGUGGUAUGAACUCUUGACUGUAUGUAUGUAUAUAUCCAUGUGAAGAUAUAUCACCAGGACUAGAGGUGAAUAGAGAAAAAAACAUUUUAUUUUCCAGGAAGAUUAUGUUAAGUUUGUAUUUUUCUACCAAUUUGAAUGACCUUCUACCUCUUUUAGGGCAGAUUUCUUAGAGAUAUUAGCAACAAGCAAAAAACCCUUUUCUUCAGUCAGGCCUGUGGAAUAAGCUGUUCUGGAAUGGUGCAAUUUAGAUAUUUCAGUACUUUUGGCCAGCAAAGACCUUUGAGGCAUCCAGAGGAGAUGUCUUUUAUCAGGCUCAUGAGUACUACUUGGUACGGCAGGUAAAAUGUUUAGGAGAUCAAAGAAAUUCAGCAGGUCAUGGCUGGAUUACAAGCAAAAGAUUAAAUGGGAGUGACUGAAAUCUUCGUGAUGAGAACUGGAACCUUGAGCUUUCAGUCCCAUCUUUUCUCCCCCCCCCCAUGCAUCUCAGCAUGUGGGGUCAACUGUCUUUUAGCUUCUUUAAGUGUCUUCUGUGCUCUACCAAAGGUGCAAUGUACAGACUUUAUUCCUCUCAUAAUGGUGUAAUUCCAGUAUGGUCCUCCCCAGUGAUGGAAAGGUUAUAUGCUAUGGUGAUGAAUAUCAAAUGAAUCUGCCACUGCCCAUUCAGUUAGUAAGGUGGAAAAGAUGUCUGAGGCACAAUUUCAGCUGUUAACAUUAGGCAAAGUAGGAUAUGCUUUGAGCAAAAGCUGAUAUUCAGCUUCAACAACACUUUAUUUUAUUCACUAAAAUAAUCAACUCACUGUACCAAGGAACAAAAUUUACAUUAGAAGUAGGUAACAUUUACAAAAAACAACUUAAAAGAUAGAUGUAAAUUAUGCUAUUCAGAUUCUGCUGUUGUAUUUUCAAUAUUGCUUUCAGGAAAAACACAGCUGGUUGAUACUGUAGAAAUACAAGAGAAACAGUGUAGAUGAACUCUGCAAUUACCAGUCUCUAAUCUAAUUCACUCACAGUACGUUUUUAAUUUUUUUUUUUUUUUUUUUUUUUUAUUAGAAUUCUCAUUGGCUGAAGGAGGAAAACAAAAUCUUUGCAGACAGACUCAGCUCAAGAUCUGGGACUGAUGAUAGUCUCUCUUGGUUUGAGUGAUAAUUUUUUAAGUCUUGGGACUAAUGAUUAGGGUGAGACAUUGUAGAUAUUACCCUUUGGUGUCAAAUGCUUUUCAGUUUUGUAAUCUGAUUUGUAAACCAAUACCUUAGAAAGUGCUUUCCCAAAAGGUUAAAUAAUUCAGUGGUUUUAUUAGUGUAGCUAAUUGCAUUUCUGUAUACAGUGUAUAUUGCCCUCUGUUUGUUCUGCAUUCAAAAUAUCGAAAUAUGGGUAUUGACCAUCUAAAUACUGUACUUUAGGAGAGCAUUCAUAAGUCUAUUUUUAUAAAUAAUUUGUUAUGAAAUUAUUACACAGCGGUUUUGAAAAUGAAGUAUUUGCUUUGAGUAUCGUUUUACUUUUAAGCUUUGAAUGGGCACAGUGAGGGAGAUCAUUGUCUGUCUAGCCCAGUGGCUUGUCCCCAGCAAUACCCAGUAGCAGAUUCUAGUCAAAGCAUGGAACACCAGAGUAAAUCAGAGAAGCCCUUCCCCCUUCAGCUUCCAGCAAUAAGCAGAUUAAUGACUUUAUUAGCCAGCGGCUACAUCAAACCACUGUAUUUGGUGGCUGUGAAUUGAUAUCUCUUGCAUGAACUUAUCUCAUCUUCUUAUGAAUUCAUUUAUACUUUGGGUCUCUUGUGAGUUUCACUAUUUAAUCACAUUUUGUGUGGAGAAUGUAAUUCCUUCUGAUGACUUUGAAUUGCUGACUGUGACUGUGGUAGUAUCACAAUUUUCCUUUUCUGUGCUACGAAAAAUAAGGAAUAAUUGUUCCAUGUUUGAUUUUGUGUAUAUUGGCUGUACUAUUCUAGGCAUCUGUUCAAUUCCUCUGUAAUUGCUUUUUUUCCUCCUCCAAAGCUGAAAAAAUUAAAUUUGUUUACUCAUUUCUGAAUACAGAAACUAUUCUUUAUAGAAUCACAGAAUCAGAGAAAUUUGGGUUGGAAGAGACCUUAAAGAUCAUCUCAUUCCAACCCUUUGCCAUGGACAAGGACACGUCCUUCUAGACCAGAUUGCUCAGAGCUCCAGCCAACCUGGCUUUGAACACUUCCAGGAAUGGGGCAUCCAGAACUUCUCUGGGAAACUUGUGCCUGGGCCUCACCACCCUCACAAGGAAGAAUCUCUUCCUGAUAUCUAACCUAAAUUUUUUUCUCCUUCAGUUUGAAAGAGGGGAAAUUCAUUUGUCCAUUCUGUUUCUCUUAUCCACUUCUCUUUUCCCCAUUUUCAAUUUGGCCUGUUUUGGGAGAUAAUGACCAUAAAUAUGUACAAUAUUCACGUCAGGGAAUGUUGUGCUCCAUGGAUUUCAACAUUAAUAGUGUCAGGAUUUCUUUUUCCUUUGUCCUCAGUUACUGGUAGCUCCUCACAUCUUACAGGCCUCAAGAUCAGCUGAGCACUUACUACACUAAACAGGAUGAAAAACUUUAUUUUUCUAUUUUUUUUCUGAGUAAAACGUAAAUUGCUUCUGAUACCGUCAAAUUUGAUGGGAUUCUGUUAAUUUUCCAGAAUAGCCUCAUGUCAGGGCAAUACGAAGUUUAAAGGCUUCUUGAAAGCAUCUCUUAUUCCAAAGAGAGAGAUUAAAAAGAGGGAGGGAGAAGAAAAGUGAGUGUCAAUUAUUAAAAAAAAAAAAAAAAUUAAGCAAGGAAACUCUACAGUUGGGCAAAAUUUGUCCUUGACUGCAGAUUAACAUUCAGUGAUAAAAGGUUAGGAGUGAGACAUGCUGAAAAACUGAAAAACUCAGUGAGAUCCUUCACAAUUUUGAGCAGGGAUAGAAAGCAACAAGAUAGAUGAAAAUUAAUGCCUGCUGUGUAAAUCACUGUUAGGUAAAGUAGUGCAUAUGGGAAAAUAGUUUCUUUUUUUUUUUCCUUUGGCCUCUGAAGACCAUUGGGAUUUUGACAGUAGCAUGUUUGUGUGCUUCUACAUAACUAAGGGAAAAAAAAAACUGGGCUUGUUACCACCUCAAUAGGACAAAAUACCAGUUCUCCUCCACUGAAUGUUGUGUUUGAAGUGCAUGACUGACUGAUUCAGCUCCAUGAGAAGAACUGACUUCUUUUUUUCAAAAGGAAAGGAAAAAAAGAUGAGAAGAAGAAAAGAGAAAAGCAAAGAAGCUGAGAAGGAAAGGUGGAGAAGAGAACAAUUCUGUUGUGUCUCACUCUUCUCUCCUUGUGAACCUAAUGGGAUGUGCAGCUGCUGCCUCUUCUUUGAGGUUAGCACUGUAAAGGACUUUGCAAGUGAUUGUUAGAUUUUUGUAUGAAACUUCUGAAAUCUGGUGAGUACAAUGGGUUAAAAAAAAAUGGAUUAAUAACAAAAUUGUCCUCCUUCCCAUUGCGUACAGUGGAUAUUUUAUUGUGCUUACUCUCAAACCAGCAACUUUCCACAGCUGUUACAGCUGUAAAUUAAUUCUAUAAAAUUCUCCAAAAAUAGGUACAUUUUUCAUGGUGACUGGGACUUUUAUACUUCUGAGGCAGCUCUUGAUCUCUGCAUGUUGUUUGGGGUCUUUACCCACAGUCUCCUUUCCUGCCUUCUGUCUUCAAGGAGCUUCUUAGUCUAAGCAUGCUCCAAAACAUUCUCCUUGUUUUAGGAAUACGCCUUUCCCGUGUAGGAAAUGUAACACCUUUUGAGGAAACAGCACACACAGUGCAUAGUGGGGGCGCAAGGAAAUGAUAUAUUCUGAUAAUCAGUAGGUUUGCAUAAGUAUCCAAAUGAUGAUUUUGAACUUCUUGUUACUGCAUACAUAUAUACAUACUCAUAUUCUGUGCUUACACUAGUCUAGAAAAUAUGAGGAUCAGACAAAUACAGCCUGCCAUCCCCAGGGUGAGUAUUGUAGAAUAAGUUAAAAAAGCACUCUGGUUUAAUUUACUUCUUUUCUUGUUGACUUGCUACUAUUUUUUUUGGUUUCUUUUUUUUUCUUUUUUGCACUAGAAAAGAAAGAAAAAUAAGUGGAGAUAUUGGAUAAUAUUUGAUACCAGGGUUAAGAAUGAGAAAGACAAGGAACUUUUUAACAUAUA